rnacentral:lncRNA from 1 species
GGCCUUCGAUCCCGACUUGUCGGCGCUGGAGGUGGAGGUGGCACUUUGCUUGUGAAGAGGCGAGCCUUCCUUUGUACCAGUGGUGACGGUCGCUGCUGCCGUCCCUGAUGCCCGUCCCACUGGGCUGGAGUGCUUCCCUGCCCUGCCAGGGAUUUUAAGUCCACUUGGCUUCAGCAUGGCUGCUGCCUCUGUAUCUCGGGUUGGUGCUACCAGUGUCUCCAAGUGCUGUCCUGCUGUCAGUGCUCAGGCUCCUCGAUGCUGGGUCUGUUCUUCCAUCG